rnacentral:rRNA from 1 species
ACCCUGCAAUCAAAUAGAUUGUCCCAAGGGCGCCAUAUUCUAGGAGCCCAAGUUAUGCUAUUGAAAAUUCGUUCCUCUAGCAGUUCCGGUUUGAGCAUUCCGUUCCCUUUUUCAAACUCCACUUCUUUUCAUAUACAAUCCCUGAUCAAAGAGAGAACAAUAUCCAUUUCAAAACAUUUCUAACAGAUUCCUUAGUUCGGACCGACGAAGUAA